GCACCAGCUCUCGCCAGCUACCAGACCUACCGCGCUGCCCCAGCUGUUGCCACCGUUGCCCAUGCUCCGGCUGUUGCUAGCUACCAGACCUACCACGCUGCUCCAGCUGUGGCUUCCUACGCCCACGCCGCUCCAGUCUACGGAUACGGCGUCAACUCCCUCGGCUACGGUGCCGGCCACUUCGGUUAUGGACAUGGCCUUAGCAGCUACGGUCUGAACUACGGGUACGGCCUCGGCACUUAUGGCGACUACACCACCCUCCUUCGCAAGAAGAAGUAAACUAUCUCUUUCUGGGCGCCUCACUUCGCAGUUGGCCAUAAAAAAGCUCUAAACUGCUAUUUAUGCAUUGUGAUAUAUCCUCAAUAAACAGUUGACCAAUAA